rnacentral:lncRNA from 1 species
CAGUGUCUUUCCUAUACCUACCAUGGGCCUGGAUCCAUAGGAGAAGGAAGUCUUUUGGCUCACUGCAGCACUCAGCAUCACAGCUCCGCUUCUAAUGUUGGAAUUUAAGAGUUCUGUUGACAUGGAUUUUCAUUACUGCACACCCAGGAUCCAACUUGAUGCCACUUGCAAAAGACAAGAAUGUCUUCUCCAGGUUAUCGCUGGUGCCCACGACAGAGUUGUGAAUGCAAAGGAAGGCUUGCUUCACAGCUUCAAAGAACAGAACUUCAUCAAAGCGUGGUCAUAACUUAACGUCUUUGCUGAACGUUCUACAGAAACCUCUGCUCAGAAAGGGCUGGCUGGAUCUUCUUCAGCAAUACUGUCUACAACUCCAAAUGCAGCCAUCAUUUUGCUAAGAUGGGUGCUGCCAGAUCUGAUAAGAACAAUGGAGAAGGAAAAAGAAAUGUUACAGCUACUAGGAUUCACUGUAGUCACCACUGUCUACACUAGGUAAGGCAAAGGAAAUUCCAAAUUUUUU